rnacentral:rRNA from 1 species
AUUGAACGCUGGCGGCAUGCCUUACACAUGCAAGUCGAACGGCAGCACGGGUGCUUGCCCCUGUGGCGAGUGGCGAACGGGUGAGUAAUACAUCGGAACAUGUCCUGUAGUGGGGGAUAGCCCGGCGAAAGCCGGAUUAAUACCGCAUACGAUCUACGGAUGAAAGCGGGGGACCUUCGGGCCUCGCGCUAUAGGGUUGGCCGAUGGCUGAUUAGCUAGUUGGUGGGGUAAAGGCCUACCAAGGCGACGAUCAGUAGCUGGUCUGAGAGGACGACCAGCCACACUGGGACUGAGACACGGCCCAGACUCCUACGGGAGGCAGCAGUGGGGAAUUUUGGACAAUGGGCGAAAGCCUGAUCCAGCAAUGCCGCGUGUGUGAAGAAGGCCUUCGGGUUGUAAAGCACUUUUGUCCGGAAAGAAAUCCUUGGCCCUAAUACGGUCGGGGGAUGACGGUACCGGAAGAAUAAGCACCGGCUAACUACGUG